rnacentral:rRNA from 1 species
UACAGGUUGAGAUUCCUGUACUACAGUAUGACAGAACUGUGGGGACGCAGAAGGAGAGCACUACCUGGAAUGGAAUCCAGGGGCAAGCACAGGAGGGGUACGGCUGGAAAAACCGCCGUGCAACCCAAAGGUGUGACGCAUACCGAACUAAAGUAGGGAAAUGUGUGAGCCGGCUGCCGAGAAAAGCCGCUAUUGUUUGUACUGUACCCGUACCGUAAACCGACACAGGUGGAUGAGGAGAGAAUCCUAAGGCCGACGGAAGAAGCAUUGCUAAGGAACUCGGCAAAAUGACCCUGUAACUUCGGGAGAAAGGGUGCCUCGAAAGAGGCCGCAGAGAAUAGGCCCAAGCAACUGUUUAGCAAAAACACAGGUCUAUGCAAAACCGCAAGGUGAAGUAUAUGGGCUGACGCCUGCCCGGUGCUGGAAGGUUAAGGGGAGAUGUCAGGAGACGAAGCAUCGAACUUAAGCCCCAGUAAACGGCGGCCGUAACAAUAACGGUCCUAAGGUAGCGAAAUUCCUUGUCGGGUAAGUUCCGACCCGCACGAAAGGCGUAAUGAUUUGGGCGCUGUCUCGGCAAUGCAUCCGGUGAAAUUGAAGUGCCAGUGAAGGUGCUGGCUACCCGCGCCAGGACGGAAAGACCCCAUGGAGCUUUACUCCAGCUUGAUACUGGGAUUCGGUAUUGUAUGUACAGGAUAGGUGGGAGGCUGAGAAAUGGUGACGCCAGUCGCCAUGGAGCCGCUGUUGGGAUACCACCCUUGCAGUACUGGAUUUCUAACCAGCAGCCGUGAUCCGGCUGGGGGACAAUGUCAGGUGGGGAGUUUGACUGGGGCGGUCGCCUCCGAAAGGGUAUUGGAGGCGCUCAAAGGUUCCCUCAGAAUGGUCGGAAACCAUUCGAAGAGUGCAAAGGCAGAAGGGAGCUUGACUGCGACACCGACGGGUGGGGCAGGUACGAAAGUAGGACUUAGUGAUCCGGUGGUAUUAAGUGGGAAUGCCAUCGCUCAACGGAUAAAAGCUACCCUGGGAUAACAGGCUUAUCACUCCCAAGAGUUCACAUCGACGGAGUGGUUUGGCACCUCGAUGUCGGCUCAUCGCAUCCUGGGGCUGUAGUAGGUCCCAAGGGUUGGGCUGUUCGCCCAUUAAAGCGGUACGCGAGCUGGGUUCAGAACGUCGUGAGACAGUUCGGUCCCUAUCCGGCGUGGGCGUAGGAUAUUUGAGAGGAGCUGACCUUAGUACGAGAGGACCGGGUUGGACUGACCUCUGGUGCACCGGUUGUCAUGCCAAUGGCACAGCCGGGUAGCCAAGUCGGGAAGGGAUAAACGCUGAAGGCAUCUAAGCGUGAAGCCCCCCUCAAGAUGAGAUAUCCCCCGCAUAAGCGGUAAGACCCCUUGAAGACGACGAGGUAGAUAGGGCAGAGGUGGAAGUGCAGUAAUGUAUGGAGCUGACUGCUACUAAUAGGUCGAAGGCUUAAC